CCUACGGGGGGCAGCAGUGGGGAAUAUUGCACAAUGGGCGCAAGCCUGAUGCAGCGACGCCGCGUGAGCGAUGAAGGCCUUCGGGUCGUAAAGCUCUGUCCUAAGGGAAGAAUAAUGACGGUACCGUAGGAGGAAGCCCCGGCUAACUACGUGACAAGAGCCGCGGUAAUACGUAGGGGGCGAGCGUUAUCCGGAAUCACUGGGCGUAAAGGGUGCGUAGGCGGCCCUGCAAGUCAGGAGUUAAAUCCCUCGGCUCAACCGAGGUCAGCUCUUGAAACUGUAGGGCUUGAGUGCAGGAGAGGAGAGCGGAAUGCGAAGUGUGGCGGUGGAAUGGGUAGGUAUUAGGGGGAACACCAGUGGGGAAGGCGGCUCUCUAGGCUGCAACUGACGCUGAGGCACGAAAGCGUGGGGAACGAACAGGAUUAGAUACCCGAGUAGUC
rnacentral:rRNA from 1 species